GAUCUUUGGAGUCACCCGCUCCGCAGACACGUCGUGCGGGACACUCUGCCUGGAAACACCGCAAACUAAUCGGAACCGGCGGCCGACAGAGACGGACGGGUGUCGCGGGAGAAGAGGGGGUCGACUAGGUGUGACCUGCUGUGUUGGCGACCGGGAUGAUGGGAGGAGAACAGAGUCAUGAUGGGAAGGAGAGUAAAGAGGAGAGUGAAAAACAUCCAGAGUCUGCUGACACCGACAGCUCAGGAUCUGCUGCUUCUGAAGACACCCCAGGAGAGCUGCCCCAGUGCCAGAUGGGAAACAGGAAGGUGGACAACAUGUGUUUCAUGAUCUCGUGCACCAACUGGUACUAAACUGAUCCUGGUACAGCAGGUUAAUGAACCUGUGGGAGAAGCUGGGACGUGUGAAGUUUGAGUUGUUGUUCUGGGACAGACGGUGCAUUCAUGAACCUGCCAAAAAACCCAAAUGAAGUCCUUUGUGCUUGCUGCAUUGUUCCACUGCUGCUCUUAAGAGGAAAUCUUCUUUGGAAAAUGCUGAAUUGUUAAUGAGCAGUUAGAUUAGUGCACCUCUUUAAUGCUGACUGUUGCUAGUGUGUAAACUUUUUCACCUGUUGUUUUUAGGAUGAGAUGCUAUACCAAUUUUACAGCUCCAUGAAUAGAAAUGGAUGAAUCCUGUAAUCUGCUGAGUCUGAAAGGAAAGCAUACAUGCAACAUCAUGCAAUGCGUAACAAAUUUGAGCUCUUACAUUCAGUAUUAGCAAAGGAGACGACGAUGAUGGCUGCUUCGCUCUAUUAAAAACACAUUUCCCAUAAACUCUCUGGCUUCCUCUUGCAAAGAAGGUGUUCCUACUUGUACAACCUUCCUAGAACUUGUCUACAUGCAUUUGCUUUUUCUCUUGUACUGAACUGGAUUAACACGUUUGAAGUGCUCCACCUGCACUCAAAAGUCAUAAAGCAAAAGUACCUUUCUGCAAUAAACACAGGAUGAUGAUUUUCUACCGACUCUUACCCAGAAGCACACAAUGAAAAACAAAGUCUUAAAUAUGUUAUAUCAGUAAAUGAUAAUUAGGGCAAUAUGUAUGAAAAUGUGUGUUUUUAAUAAGCUUCCUGUAAAACCAAGAAAUGCACCAGUCAGUAAUAAACAAAAAAAAGCUGAAAA